rnacentral:rRNA from 1 species
AUGAAAAUCUUAAGCUGGAACUGUCGCGGGAUAGGAGAUCCUACGACAGUUCGUGAACUCCGCGACCUGGUGGAGCUUAGUUCACCAUCUAUUCUUUGCUUAGUUGAAACACAGUUACAAAAAAACCGUGUGGAAGGUCUUCGUUUCUCGUUAGGUUUUGAUUCCAGUUUUGCUGUUGGUAGUAGUGGUCGAAGUGGAGGUAUCUGUAUCUUUUGGAAAAACUCGUUGAAUGUUGAAAUAAAGAAUUUUUCGGAGUAUCAUGUGGACGCAUGGGUGCUUGAACCAGGAAGGGAACAGUGGCGUCUUUCUUGUUUUUACGGAGAAGCAACAAGAUCUCUCCGGUACAAAACUUGGAACACAACGACAAGGUUGAGAGGUGAGAGCACGCUUCCAUGGAUGUGCAUUGGUGACCUCAACGAAAUUCUGCGGCCCGAGGAACAAUUUGGCCCAAAUGAGCGUGACAGUGCAUAG